UCAGCAGUUCAGCUUCAGCCUGAAAAGCCCUUAAAAAAACCCUAGUCCCAUUCCCGCCUUGGGGAUCAAACGACCACUACCGACCCUGGUGAUUUGCCAAUCGAAAAUGCCCGGACCUGUAUUGGAUUCAGGGAAUGCCCUAGUUCCUUUUCCGCCGGAAGUUCGCGAUCCAGUGGUCUACACUAUUCACCACGGCCUCAAGCCCCCAGUCUUUCGCCUCUCCGUUUCAUGGUCUCGAGGAAACUGCCUUCGUGUUUCGGUUUUCCGCCAACAUAGUAGUGUCCCUGAUUCCUGCGGAGAUGCUUCUGGAAACUCCAACGAGGAAAUUGGCGGGAAUGUUGUGGAGGUGAAGUUAAGCUCCGGACACGGAGAGAUUGAUGAUGCGCAUAAGAGGAGGAUCGCUUAUGGAUCUGUUUCUCCUUUUGCGCUUCUCCAGAGUCGGAAGAAUUAUGCCUUCAUGCUCUCUAAAAUGCCAAUGGCUUCCUCUUCUUUUCACGUCGACUGGUUGGAGCAUGUUAUGGAAUACAGUAAAGAAAUAAAUUCUCUACUUGGGAAUACAAAGCUGCCUCCUAGCUCAGGGAUUGAAGACCCAAAAACAGUUUUAAAGAUGGUUGAGGAGCCAACCUCUUUGAAGGCUGCUUGGGAACUGAUGGAAAUAUUUUAUGUUGACAAACAAGCACAAGCUUGGCUCCCAGAACGCCUUGUUGAUUGGUUAGCAGUGUACGAUAGCCUUCUUUCGGGAACAGAGUCAACCACAGUUCAUUCAAAACUUGUGGAUCUACAAAGAGAACUUGUCCAUAUACAGGCGACGGAGGAUAAUCCUAAAUAUUGGGAGGGAAUAUCAUCAGCACUUGCAGUUGGUUGGCUUGAGAUUGUGGUGAAAUUGCUGAGAUUGCAUGGAUCGUAUCAACUGGAUCAGCUUGGAAAUCGUGAGGCAGAGAAUGGACUGGUAGAGGCCAUUGCUAUUCUUGUCUCUAAAAUGCCACGCAUGCGUCCUGAAUUGGGGGCUGGAAGUUUAGGUGAAUGCUACAAAACAAAGCCUGAGUUUGUGAAGGCAUGGGAAAAAUGGCGAGGACAAAUAACCAAACUAGACUGCAGUGGCUUUUGGGUGAAGUGUGAUCACCACCUGACCAAGGAUGGAUUAAAGAAUAUGCUACAAAUCAUGCUAGGAAAUGCUAGUUGUCUAAAUGCUGCAACUGGCCACUGGAUGGAGUUGUUCAUAUCUCACUUUCUCUAUGUCAGGCCAUUCAGUAUGGGUUUAGAGGGCAUGUACAGUUUAUCUCAGAAGUGCAUGCAGUCCAAACAGAUGUCCAAAAAUCAUAGCUUGAUGGGGCUCUUCCUUGGAAUUCUUGGAGAGAAUACUGAGGUUGUUCUAGCUGAAUGCUCAAGAGCAUUUGGUCCUUGGAUGGUUGCACAUUCCAUAGAGUUGUUGACAGCUGGGAACAAUCAAGCAGAAAUCCUUCUACAUGAAGAGCGCUAUAAUUUGGGAGGAAUUAGUAUGGAGGAGCUCUAUCGCCUUGUCUAUGCUCAAGUUCUAUCUUCUCAUGCUUUAACUUCGCAAAUUGCUCCAAUUUAUUUGGGCUCAUGCAGAAAGCAGGGAAUGGAUUUGUUGGAGAUUUUAUUGUAUAAGCAAUCUGUGCAACAUAAACAGAUGCUCCUUAAGAAUCUAGAAAUUUGCCGGCUAUAUGGACUUGACAGCAUCAGUUCACACAUUAUGAAGAUUGCUGGAAUGCACCACUGGAAGCAUGGAAGGAAAGGGUGUGGGGUCUUCUGGCUACAACAAGCACGGGAUGAAAUUCGUCUUAAUAGAAUCGCUCGACAGUUGUUUGAUUUUGUUGGGAAGUCAAUAUCUGAUGAAAGUUUCAAGCGAUGGGAAGGCUUGAUUGAAUUGUUGGGUUCUGAAACGAGAACUGCAGGUGGUCUUGAGUUUCUUCACAAAUAUAGAGAUUUCAAGAAAUCCCUUCACCAGACUCAAGGUGGAAAAGUUACUGAAGCUGCUCGACAAGCUGUAGAUUCCCUUAUGCAGCUUAUGAAAAACCCUUCCACUCCACAGCGUUUCUGGUUGCCUCUUCUGCAUGAUUCGUUGAAGUUGAUUAGUUGGCCAGGGCGUCCUUUGCUGAAUGUUGCCCAGACUAAUAUUUUGUUGAACAAACUGCAAGAGUUGUCUAUCGCAAGGUUGCAGCCAGACUUCUCUGAAGUAGACUUGCCUCCAAAUGCCCUCAGUUCUGUUAGACUAGCACUGGCUACAAAUCUGGGCCGUGCAUUCCUGGAGGAGUGAUGAUUUCCUGACUUUGUAAUAUUAAGAUAAUGACAUGGGUACUAAUUGUAUGUAUAUAUUGAUGGAAGGUUAAAAUACCAUUCGUUAGAAUGAUGCUGUUCUGAAAUGUUACUGGAUCGGGUGAGUGGAACCAAUUAAUUAGGGACUACAGAGGAUCUAGGUGAUCAUAUCCUCAAAGUCUUUUGAUUUCCCUGAAUAUCUUUGCAAAGUUGAGUUUGUCCAGGUCUACUUAAUGAGCAAGAUGAUAGUUAAGGAUGGAUCUGUAAUUUAGUAACUGUGAAUAGUGAUUGUUUUAUGUUUGCCAUGG